UAAUUGCAUCUUAUUGACAUCCAAUAUCAAACCUAUUUGCAUCUCAAUACAAUCAGUCUAUAUUGCCAUCUACUUACACCAUCUUAAUAGUUUCCAACUUAAUUGCAUCUUAAGAUACCUAAUUCAACCAAUUUAUAUUACCAUAAAACUCAUUUCAAAAUGUUUGCAUAAGCAUUAAAGAUCCACAAUGCACCUACUUGCUCAAGUAUGCCAUGUGGACACAACUCUCUCUCAAUAUCAUACAUAAAUUGUGGUUAAAUCCUAAACCCUAAACUUGGUCUCAAGGUAAUGAAAUCAUGGGUAAACCCAAGCCCUAAACCCUAAAAGUGUGAAGGUCAUCGUUGUCGAUCCACACAAUCCCCACGUCCACACUCGCAGCAACACCGCUCAAGCUUGAACGUCCACUACUGUCUCCCGAGCCCAAAUGGGAGAGAGAUGUUAGUAAGUAAGUAAGUUUGGGUGUUAGCGCUACCUCUGUACUUGUGAUGCAUCACUGUAAUCGACCACACACCAUGAAAAGAAUUCACACACACGCACACACAUAUAUAAAUAUAUAUAUAAAUAUAUAUAUAAAUAUAUAUAUAAAUAUAUAUAUUUAUAUAUUAUAUUUAUAUAUAUUUAUAUAUAUUUAUCGAGAGAGAGAGAUAAGUAUCUGUCUUUCUAUUUUAGUUUUUUUUUAAAAAAAAUCUAGACCGCCACAUGUGGCAGAGAAGUAGAUGAGAGCAAGAGAGGACACAAAUUGGGUGUGUGUGUGUAUAUACAUCACAAUAGGGGGUGGUCAAGUGGGGAUGAUGUACAGGAGGAGGAGGAGGAAGAACAGGAGCGAGCGAGGGUAAUCAGCUUCUCCGGAGCGAGGGAGGAAAAACAAACACAGCAGUGAUUGAUUGCCUUGCCUCAUUGCACGAUUGAUUGAAUGAAGGAAUGGACACAUGAGAGGGCUAUCUCUCUCUGCCUCUCCCUCUCGCUCUCCCUCGACAUGCAUGCAUGCCCCCUCUUCGCCUCGUUUUCGCUAACUCUAGUGUGUGUGUGUGUGUGUGUGUGUGUGUUUGUGUCAUGAUGCCAUCAAUCUGGUGACAGUCGGCCAGUCGCAAUCCAACCCCACCGAGCAGACCAACUCUGGGUCCCGGAGCUCAUUGCUCCAGCUCAAGGGUCGGCGUCGGCGUUUGUCCUGGACAACCCCCCUCCGGACUACACUCACAGUUUUUUCUUCUCCUCCUCCAACAUGCUUCUAUGAAUAUAAAGUGACGCAACAACAAA
rnacentral:lncRNA from 1 species